rnacentral:rRNA from 1 species
GGACGCAUCACUGGUGUUCGGGUUGUCAUGCCAAUGGCACUGCCCGGUAGCUAAAUGCGGAAGAGAUAAGUGCUGAAAGCAUCUAAGCACGAAACUUGCCCCGAGAUGAGUUCUCCCUGACUCCUUGAGAGUCCUGAAGGAACGUUGAAGACGACGACGUUGAUAGGCCGGGUGUGUAAGCGCAGCGAUGCGUUGAGCUAACCGGUACUAAUGAACCGUGAGGCUUAACCUUACAACGCCGAAG